AGAGUUUGAUCAUGGCUCAGGAUGAACGCUGGCGGCGUGCUUAACACAUGCAAGUCGAACGCUGAAGCUUGAUGCUUGCACUGGGUGGAUGAGUGGCGAACGGGUGAGUAAUACGUGAGUAACCUGCCCUUGACUCUGGGAUAAGCCUGGGAAACUGGGUCUAAUACUGGAUACGACAUGUCACUGCAUGGUGGUGUGUGGAAAGGGUUUUACUGGUUUUGGAUGGGCUCACGGCCUAUCAGCUUGUUGGUGGGGUAAUGGCCUACCAAGGCGACGACGGGUAGCCGGCCUGAGAGGGUGACCGGCCACACUGGGACUGAGACACGGCCCAGACUCCUACGGGAGGCAGCAGUGGGGAAUAUUGCACAAUGGGCGGAAGCCUGAUGCAGCGACGCCGCGUGAGGGAUGACGGCCUUCGGGUUGUAAACCUCUUUCGGCACGGAAGAAGCGAGAGUGACGGUACGUGCAGAAGAAGCGCCGGCUAACUACGUGCCAGCAGCCGCGGUAAUACGUAGGGCGCAAGCGUUGUCCGGAAUUAUUGGGCGUAAAGAGCUCGUAGGCGGUUUGUCGCGUCUGCUGUGAAAGCCCGGGGCUUAACCCCGGGUGUGCAGUGGGUACGGGCAGACUUGAGUGCAGUAGGGGAGACUGGAAUUCCUGGUGUAGCGGUGAAAUGCGCAGAUAUCAGGAAGAACACCGAUGGCGAAGGCAGGUCUCUGGGCUGUUACUGACGCUGAGGAGCGAAAGCAUGGGGAGCGAACAGGAUUAGAUACCCUGGUAGUCC
rnacentral:rRNA from 1 species